rnacentral:rRNA from 1 species
UACGAAGGGGGCUAGCGUUGUUCGGAUUUACUGGGCGUAAAGCGCAUGUAGGCGGGUCGUUCAGUUGGGGGUGAAAUCACGAGGCUCAACCUCGGAACUGCCUUCAAAACUGGCGACCUGGAGCAAGAUAGAGGCAAGUGGAAUUGCGAGUGUAGAGGUGAAAUUCGUAGAUAUUCGCAGGAACACCAGUGGCGAAGGCGACUUGCUGGAUCUUUGCUGACGCUGAGAUGUGAAAGCGUGGGGAGCAAACAGG